rnacentral:lncRNA from 1 species
AUUGGUAAUCUGUAUGAUUGUUUCUUGUUUCAAUAACUGAAAUGUACUCUGGCUUGAGACUGACUAGAGAUUGCUGCUAGUAUGGGGACACACCUAAGGGUAACUAAUUGCAAUAGAGAUAGAUGUACUUUGAGAGAUACUGAGAGAGAGAUGUUGAGAGAUGCUGCUACAGAUAGAGGGAUGCUACCACAGGGGAAUGCUCUGGGGUUUGCCUAUAAUCUCUAUUUGAUGCCUAAAGGAUCAAUAUAUUUCCUAACCUCCUCCUCCUUCACUCCCUCCCUUAACCACCCACUUCUUGAAGCCUUUUUGGCUUCCUCCCUCCCUCCCCCCUCCCCAGUGGUCUAUAAAAUACUCCUGUUUUCUUUCUCAGGUAAAGGGUUUAUUGGGAAACAAUAGGAUGGGAAACUGAGGUAAGAGGGAUGAGGUUUUUCCUAAUCUAUAAUGAGGGAUAGGAGGAAUUUGGGAAAUCAGUCCAUUCUCAGAUGUGACUCUAAGAGAGCCAGAAAGAAGGACAACUGUUUAAAAUCUUCUUUUCUUCUUCACAAAGUCACCAAGGUCUCUCAGCCUAAUUUCAGAAGCCCCCCUCAAAGGUCCUUCAGCCUGGGGCAAAAGCUAACAAUAUUAGUUCUCUGCUUCUUCCCUCUUCAGUCAGGCUUGCCUCCUUUGAUCAGAAAAUCCCCAAGAGCCAGUCAAACCCCAGAGAGAGACAGAAUCAGAUCCUCCCCCUGGCCAGCUCAACUGCCUCAAGACAAGAGAAAAGGUAGUUGGAAGGGACCAAUCAUAGCUUACAAAUUGCCUAGCACUGCCCAGGAUAGAAGUGUCCGUGGGAUCCACACCUCAUCCUCUGAAGGUGUCAACUCUUAUCAAAGGAUUCACAAGUUUCUGCUUUAUUGGGUUAAAAGAGUGGAGCUCUCCCAGUAAGUUACUUAUGAAUUCUCUUACUUGAUAACAAAGUGUUAAAUAGGGUUUAAGUAGAGGUUUCUUAGAUUUAUUAAAAAUAGACAAAGAGAAUAAAGAAUUCAUUUUCACAAUCUGAAGUUGACCA